rnacentral:lncRNA from 1 species
UAUAAUCAAAAGAUGAAGCUCCAAUUCAGAUUUUGAAGAUAAAAACACGAAAUCCAUGAAUCGAGCAAUUUCUAUAUACUAAACAAUCCGAUGAACACAUGUCGACUAUAUAGCUACUUAGAAAGCGAACCGGCGAUUAACCCACCUCAAAAGCUACUCCAAAUUCAGCGCGACGUCGAAUCAGCGAUAAACCCCGCUCGCCCGGCCUCCCAACGUAGCAACUACGGUGCCCGUAUGCUCGAACGGCUCAGCGGCGCGACGUCAGUGUCGAUCGAACUCAACUCGAGCUCCUCCUUGCUCACGGCCAAGGCUAGAGAGAGAGGAGAAGAAGAACAGUAAAAUUUCUCUCUCUU